rnacentral:rRNA from 1 species
CAGCCGCGGUAAUACCAGCGCCACGAGUGGGAACUGCAAUUAUUGGGCCUAAAGCGUCCGUAGCCGGUUUAAUAAAUUUCUUGUGAAACUGUAAGCUCAACUUAACAACGUGCAGGAAAGACUGUUAGACUUGGGACUGGGAGGGGUUAGAAGUAUCUUUGGGGUAGCGGUAAAAUGUUAUAAUCCUAAAGAGACUACCGAUGGCGAAGGCAUCUAACCAGAACAGGCCCGACGGUGAGGGACGAAAGCUAGGGGAGCAAACCGGAUUAGAUACAAGAAAUUAUAAGAUUUCUGGAGUUAGCUCGGAAAGUUUGCAAUACAACUAUCAAGUACGAGUUAAUAAAAGGGAGUAGAAUGAUAAUUUUCUUGCUAAUGACCCGAGUAGUCCUAGCCGUAAACGCUGCGAGCAAGAUGUUGCGUAUUCUUCGGGAAUAUGCAGUAUCGAAGAGAAGUCGUUAAGCUCGCCGCCUGGGAAGUAUGGUCGCAAGGCUGAAACUUAAAGGAAUUGGCGGGGGAGCACUACAAAGGGUGCGGCGUGCGGUUUAAUCUAACUCAACGCAGAGAAUCUCACCAGAAGCGACGGCAAGAUGAAAGUCAGAUUAAAGGUCUUACUUGAUGAGCCGAGAGGUAGUGCAUGGCCGCCGUCAGCUCGUUCCGUAAGGUGUCCUGUUAAGUCAGGCAACGAGCGAGACCUGCACCCACAAUUGCCAGCAGCAGAACUUCUGGACUGGGCACAUUGUGGGAACUGCCUUGGAAACAGGGAGGAAGGUGCAGGCUACGGUAGGUCUGUAUGCUCCGAAUCUUCUGGGCUACACGCGCGCAACAAUGGUAGAGACAAUGGGAUGCAACUCCGAAAGGAGAAGCUAAUCCUCCAAACUCUAUCUUAGUUCAGAUCGAGGAUUGUAACUCAUCCUCGUGACGCUGGAAUCCCUAGUAAUCAGGUCUUAUCAUGGCCCGGUGAAUAUGUCCCUGCCCCUUGCACAC